UACUGCUAUUUGAAGUUGCCAUCAAUUUCAAGGAUGAUAGACAUACAGCAUAAAUGUAUCGAAGACAAAAAAUAUCUUCUGAAUGCAGCCGUCAGCGAGCCAUUGAAUGUCCUGUAGCAAAGGUUUGCUUCCAAAUCCUUGGAUUCUCUCGUGUCCACUCCAUUUAGGACCUCCUCUGAGGAGAGAGUCCAGAGACAUGUGCAUGGAGGCUUCAGGAUGAACCUACCCUUACCUGAGCUCAGGAAAGCCUGUCCCCAAAACAGCCCAUAAGAAAGUCGCUGCUUUAUACACCCGCAAGUGCCAAAUGACUUUAAAAUAGAAAA
rnacentral:lncRNA from 1 species